ACUCGGUUCAUCUAUCGAUGAAGAGCGCGGGCAACCGCGAGAACUGGAGCGAAUUGCAGGGCUCAGUGAAAAUCAACACCUUGAACGCACAUUGCGGCCUCUAGAUCC